rnacentral:rRNA from 1 species
GACGAACGCUGGCGGCGUGCUUAACACAUGCAAGUCGAACGGAAAGGCCCCUUUGUGGGUACUCGAGUGGCGAACGGGUGGGUAACACGUGAGUAACCUGCCCUUCACUUCGGGAUAACUUCAGGAAACUGGGGCUAAUACCGGCUAGGAAUCCUUGCUGCAGGCUGGGGGUUGGAAAGCUUGGGCGGUUUUGGAUGGACUCGUGGCGUAUCAGCUUGUUGGGGGGGUAUGGGCUUACCAAGGCUGUGACGGGUAGCCGGCCUGAGAGGGCGACCGGCCACCAUGGGACUGAGAGAAGGCGCAGGCGCGUAAGGGAGGCAGAAGUGGGGAAUAUUGCAGAAUGGGCGGAAGCCAGAUGCAGAAACGCCGCGUGCGGGAUGACGGCCUUAGGGUUGGAAAACGCUUUCAGCAGGGGCGAAGCUUGUGGUGACGGUACCUGCAGAAGAAGCACCGGCUAACUACGUG